GUUGGUUGGUGAACUUUCAAACAAUUUCAAUUUUCGGCGCAUUAUUUUUUUUCUGCUUGUUGAACAAAAAAAAAUUCGGUGGGCAAAGAGACAGGAAACUUAGUGUUCAUCUGAAAAAUUAAAAACUUGAAAAAUUAAAAACCGGAUCUUCCUAACAAACUUACUCUUCCCCAUACCGUCUACUAAAAAAUCUCCAGCUUAUUCUGGCAAAAUGCUAAAAGCCUGGAGAAAACUUUUGUUCAAAUAAUCGUUUCAGCUCAGGCAACAAUUUCUUUAUCCUGCGAGUGUCUGUUUAUUUUAGUUAGGCCGAGACAAUUCAUCUUAUCCAAAAAAAAGUAAGAAAAUUGCCUGUAGCUGAAUGAUAUAACUUCCCUUUAGUUUUAUUGAACUUAUUUUGUGGUCUAUGAUGAAAGUAGUUGCAUAACCUUUACAAUUCUUUUGUCUGAAAGAAGUUUGUCAGCCCACAUACUUUUGAGGAAUUAAAGAAUUAAUUUACAGUCUAUUACAAGAUUUAUUUGAGCCAAUCAAAUUUUCCAUCAAUUUAUUUAUUUUGAAAUGAGAGUUUGAGUCCACGAAAGUUGGCUGCUUGUUCUUUAGCUUAAAAAAACGGGCAAAAUUUGUUAAUUAAUCAAAAGGAGCAGUUUAUUUUCGAAAAUGCUUGAAACAAAUUUUAAUUUUACAACAAUUGUUUUUCCAAGUUACUUCAUGGCACUUUUGAUCAGCACAAGAGGUCAAUAUGGUGUGAUGGCUAACUCCCCAUUAAUCGAAAGAACGGAAACUUUUAGCGGAAAAAGUCAUAGUCUUGGCAACAAAGUUCCAGAAAAUUUCAACAAAGAAAAUUUCAACAAAGAGCAAGAGCAACGGAAUCACCUCCAACUUAAUGGACGAGUGCUACUGAAAAGACCAUUUGGCAACUACCUACCAAAAACUGGCUCAAAAGGAAACCAGAAAGCAUUCAGAGAACAAACAACAAAGUAGAGCGAAAGCAAAUAGUUCAAAAGAUGUAAUAAUAACGCAUUGAGUAUCAAUAUUUUGAU